CAGGAGCGACUGAGAGAAAAUAAUCCCCCUUGAACUUUGCUGCUUACAGAAAAAUGGGAGCAGGUAGUUGAGGGGAGAGGGUUCAUGUUGUGACAAAUGAGUGUGUCCACCUGUUUCAGCUUUGGAAACUCCAGAAAUAACCCAACCUACUCCUAGAUUCCUUGUGAAUAUUAGUCCAUUUUCAGCCUAAUUCAGCAGCGAGGACCCAGAUCACAUCACAGAGGCAAGCUGAUGCAAGUUUCAGAGAUCAGCUGAAGCAAGUUCACUUUCACCAAGGAUACCGCUGAUGUCGCAAGUUGUUGGUGAUGCCAAUAUCAGAUGAUCGGAUGAUUGCAGAGUUGACGUUGAAAAUCAGGGAAGAGCCUAUAAACAUCUUGUUACCAACUUACAGAAAACAUUGGAGCAAAACAUGAAUGAAAAUCUUUUAAAGUUGAUGAACUUGUAGUGCUGGAUCUUCAGGGAAGUAAUGGCAAGAUGUAAUGAACUUGGACUGGUCUAACCACCUAUUGGCAAACCAGGCAGCCAGUCUACAUCUUGAUGCCCGAGGUAUGAUGCAUUGACAUAGAAUAAAAUAAUUUCUGUAUAUAAAUCUAGAAAUGAUUUGCUACAUCAGCAAACACUUAACACAUUCAUGUGACAUUAUUUUAAAUAAGUUAACACCUCCAUUAAAAUAGUUGACAGGGGAAUGUCACAUGAAUGCAUUAAGUGCUUGGCCAGUAAUAUCAUCAUCAGUCAUUUCUAGGCUUGUUUUUGAAAGAGUUCCUCAGUGCAUCAGACACAGUGUUACAAAGGAUGUCUUUUUAUUCUGCUAAUAGCCAUUCCCAUUCUUUCUCCAACAGUGUAUUGGUUAAGCAGAGAGAUGACAGACAGGGACCAGUGUAAAUGUUACCAAAUAACAAAAGAUGCAUUUUUGAAAUUCUCCCUCUUUUCCCCAACCCCAAUAAUGUGUUCCAACCUUUUGAAAGCUUUUAUUUAUAAUGUCCUUCAGAGAUGCAGCUAUCUACUAAUCUACUGACAGUUACUGUCUUACAUUACUCCUUACAAAAACGUUUUUUUCUGUAAUCAAGUUUUUGUCAAUUGUGAAAUCAAACAGUCAUUAAAAAACCCUACAACAUGCUUGAAACCAGGA